AUUUAUAGGGUUUUUCCAUAGUGGGGGGGGGUUAGUGGUGCCGAGCCAUGCCGUGAACAGCUGCAAACAGUCUAGCUGCACUGUCACGGUGCAAGUGUUUUUUCACUGCACUGCAUAGCAAGGAGGAAGCACAGGCUCAGCUUUGUGGGCCGAGUCCUUCAGAGGAUACCUGAACUGGGACACAGCGACACAACUGAACCCCAACAGAGGUUUUACCUGCAAAAUGAUGAUCAGUCUAUGCGAAUUAUGCAUAGCCGUACCAUCACAUGCUACAGCGUGGCGCCAGGAUGAAUACCACAGCCCAGUCGUGAAGGCAGGGAGACAGAAGAACUCAGCAUUUCAACUGGCUGAGCAGAACCCGAGCCCUGGAAUCUAGUGGAGCCUUGUGCGGGGAAGAGUGACAACGGAUCAAUACCUGUGAUUAAUUAACUUCUAAUGAGCUCAUCUGAGCGUUGAGAGACCCAGAAAGUUGGACACAUCCCAUCAUCUCAUUCUCUCUGACCUGUCCCGUCCCCCACCCUUCCUCUCAUCCUCUCCUGCAUCUAUCGAUCUGAUAUGAAGGCAAAUGAAGAUUAUCUGUUGUUUUUAUUUGUGAUGUCACUCUCUCCUCUUUUGGGAUCUAUUUUUAUUGAAUAGUUAAAGAAUAACAUUUGAAAUUAUAAGCAGCGCAAUACCUGAAAUGGAAUAUUGGUUUCCAAUUUGCGGUCGAUACCUGUCUCGGGUUGCAGCACAAUGCAGGUACCUCAUUGUUAACCAUUCCUAUUAUUGUGCAUCAAUAACACAUAGCACAGUGGAAAUCGAAUGCUAUUGAGCUGACCUGAUUUUCUGUAGCUACUAAAGUUAGAGCUGCGUAAGUCAUGGUAAAGUCAGCGCAGCGAUGGUAGACACACAGGUUCCCACAUGUGAUUAUCCCAGCAGUCAUUAUGAUCCCUCAGAGAGUGAGAGUGAAAGCUGGGAGUGCAGAAGCAAUGGAGAUGAAUGGUCAUGUGAAUAGGGAAGUGGAUUGGGGAGCCCAGGCUCCCCGUGUAGCUUGGUCUGCCAUUUUCUCUCUCCAUUUCUCAGCUCUGAGGGCCGAGUGCAGAGUUAUUUGUCUCGCAGUGAAAUUAGUAAUCGCGGCGCCAUCCAUCAUUGGCUGACCUGCUAUUGAUCGCCAGUGCACCUUCUCUUUUCAACUAAAUUAUAUUACAAAAAAAGAAUAACAAAUGUCGGCACUCAGAGUGGUCCACACUUUUGCAUGCCUCAGCAAAAGACUCAGAGAAAAGGGGGAAAAAAUGCAAAGACUUUUUGUGUAACGGUAGUGAGACAUGUCAAGCAAUUCCAUUUGAAGAGAUUAGAGUUGUUGUUUUGAAGGUGACAAGUGCAGAGCAGGUUUAAACCAACAUAGACUUUGAAGCGGGGGGAUUUUCAGCUGGCACGGCUUGUUAUACACCAGUGACACCUCAGUGACAAAUGCUGUAUGCUGUUCCCUUGUCCUAAACAAUAUACAGGAUGGAACAUGCUGAUACAAGCAUCGACUUGUAAAUGUUUCAGAGGUGAGGUACUUGCCCUCUCCAGUAAAAAAGAUUUUGCACAACAUUCUGUAUCUAAAUAUAAACUUUCAAUUUCAACUACAGCUAUCAAAAUGUACUGCAGUGCACCAAAAUGAGGUCAAGAGCAGCUUUUUUUGUCUAGACUUUUUCCAUUCCACAGUCAAUAACAAAGACAGGCACUGCGCUCACGAUUAGCCUGCUAUUGAUCACUGAUGCCCCAUGACUACCAAAACAUAGUACACAGAGGUCAAUUGUCACCGCAUAUUCACUUGUGUCCCUUACAAUGGCAUGACUACAAUAGAAUUUGCUGCUGUGAGUUAGAUUAUGAGUUUAGUGGCUUGCAGUCAGUGGAUGAUACACAUUUUGACAUGAUACAGACAGACCUUUAGAGGUUGGAGUGUAUGGAAGAGAGCUAUACACUGCACAAAAUACAGAGAAGGGAAAUGUCACUGUGACAGAGAAGCACAUUAAAGCAGAAUUAAUUACAAUAUAGCCUUCUAAUUGCUGAACAAGAAAGGGAUUGUGGGAACAUAUUGGUAAUAGCUGGUCGCAGUUUCCAAAACCUGCAAAGAGGCAGAUUAGAGAAACUGAGAUUACCAUCUGGGAAAAGUACUGUUUAUCAGGCAAGGGGUUAAAACCUAGUGGUGCAUGACGCAGAACCUCUGUAUUAAGUGUGUGUGUGUGUGUGUGUGUGUGUGUGUGUUGGUGUGUGCAAAGUGACAGGAUGAGAUGGUAAAGUACAUGUAUUAAAUCCCUUUAGGAGCAGAUCAACACCAGGGCAAAGCGCUGAGGUACACAGCCCUCUACACAGAGCCCACUGUUUUGCAUCUGACCAACAGGCUUCACUCACAUUUUCCCGUUUACAAAUCCCUAAUCCCUAACCCCAGAAGUGGGACACUUUAGCAGAAUUCUCCGCUAUAUAAUCACAGUACAGAAAACUGUAAUCCCACGGUCUCCAUGUUCUCUUAAGUGUACUGUACAUGUUGUGUAAAAAUGAUGUUUGUCACACAGCACAACCCAUAGACCCCGAUGAAGAGAUGGUACAUACUCACUUGGCCUCUGUUUUUUUUUUUCUGGCUCUCAAUCCCUCUGACAGUCUGCUCUCUAACAGACACAUGAACUUUCUUCCUUAUCUCCUUCUCUAUCCUUAUCACAAUCCUUCCAUUCCUCCUCACCUUCCCAACCCGAUAUCCCCAUGGAUUCUUUCACACACACUAGAUAGCCUCUCAGUCAUCCAGCGUUGUGUCUUCCUCAGAUGUCUUUGCGCUGUGGACUUUGAACUCUGAAUGCCCCAGGCACCCAGCAGAGACCUGAGAGGACCUGCGGUUUGGCCUCCAAUCUACCAUAUCUUGACUGCAGCCAUGAAGAGACAGACUCCCUCCAUCCAGCACACUAACACACAGCACAAGUAUUGACCCCAUCAACAGGCCAUUGAAGCCCAGUGCUUCUCAAAUUGCAGUCAGAUUGAGUUUAUGUGGAAAAAAGAUAAUAUGACACCACUUCAAGAGUGUGGUUUAGCCACAUGGCAAAUCUGAGGAAGCAAUUAUCAAUGCUGGAAGUUUAACAAGAUAGGUUUUUGGAGUUCUCUGAAUCAGAAGCACUAAGUUGAAAUUCCUGAAUUUAUUUUUUAAA